AGCUGUCCCUUGAGGACGGAGGCCCCAGGAGAACCUCGUGGGACCCCCUUCGCUCCCAGCUGAGAUUCUUUGGUGCUGAUUUUUUUCCUGACACCGUUGGUCAGGAAAAAUGCCAGAAAAGCCAAUUAGCUGAAAGAGGUCAUUUCCAGCAGCUGUUUGCAACUACCCAAACUAGAUUGUGACUGAAGAUAACAAGCACUUGCUGUUGUAAGAAACCAUCUCAGGAUCACGGUGUCUUAACAAAGACACUGGUCCCGAAGCAUCUGGCAUCUCUCCUGGGCUUACUCUGUGUGGUAACUCAGGGGUCCUGUCAACUCACCUUCAAUACAUAACCUCCGGGACUGUCACAAAAGAGGAAAAGAACCGUGUCAAAGGUCCACAAACGCGGAGCACCGUAUGUGACCUCCUCUGAACGUCUGAUUGACAUGACAUUUGCCCUAGCAGUCACAGAUGCCUGGAAGCAUGCAGACCAAACCCCGAGGUCACCAACUGCUCCUGGUGUCCUGACACUACCAGUGACGUGCUUCUGCGGUCACACGCACAGGAGGGAGUGUAUGGCGUCCUCGGGUGAUCACACUUAGGGAUCUGUUUGAUUUUCUUUCCAGAUAGUUUAAGAACCAAGUUCCAGAGCAUUUGGCUUCAGGACCCAAAGGUUGAGCUCUCUGUCUUAGAAUUCUGCUGGCUGCUGUGACUAUUACUUGGUUACUGUCAGCAAAAUGCCUGUGCCCCUGGGUUGAAGGCCCUAGCUCUCCCACCAUGGAUUGGGAUGGACAGCAGAGGUUGCCUUCCGGUACACUCUGUUUUCCAGCAUGGGUGCCUGCUUCAGGCUGAGGACCCUCACAAGCAUCCUCCCAGGGAAGGGCCUGCUUUGGCUGGAGUGUGGAGGACUUUUGUCCAUAUAAAGGGCCAUGCAUAGCCGGGAGGCAGAGGCAGGCGGAUCUCUGAUAGUUCGAGGCCGGGCUGGACCGAUAGCCUCCAAAACAAUACAGCGAAACCCUGACUUGUAAAAACCAAAAAUAAAAAAUAAAAAUAAAUAAAUAAAGGGCCAUGCGUAGGGUCUCUGAAGGUUGAGGUUCUUUGUAAAGUUGAGUGUAAGCAAGAAAGCUUCUACAACAGCAUGUGGAAGACGUCACUGAUGUCAGCUUAACCGGCCUCUAGAACCCUGUGACUUAUUUCCUAACGCCUCCCACUUGGUACUCCUUGAAAUAAUAUUCCAAGGAGGUCCAAGCAGAGGAGUGUUCAAAUAAAUCAAUGACUGCCACGGGAAUGCAUGAGUAAUAGAACAUAUCACGGCCCAGGCCUCCGAAGCCACGCCGGGUAGGCGAGAGCACGCCUCCUGGCCGGUGCACGGCUGCCACACCUGUGCCUGUGGCUCUAUUGAGUUUUUAUUGCAAAACAGAAGGUUUUUCUCUUCCAGCCCUCUCUGUCGCUUCUCAGUGAGGAGUCACGAUAGCGGGGUGAAAAAUGAAGCCAAGAUGUCUUUGAACUUGGUUGUUUCAUGUGCUUUUCUUUCUCUCUCCCCCCUCUCUCUUUUUUUAAAAACAUUUUGAUCUGAAACAUCUGUUUUUGCUUAAAAGCACAUCUACACCAGUGACCAUUUACAUGGAGCCCUUGGAGAUCAGUUCGCGCAGAUGUUUGCCUGUUGUGGGAUUUUGUGUGAUUCACUUAAAAACAAACCAAAACAAAAC